GGAUGUACCAGUGGUGGAAGAUCCUGUCCGGCUGCACCGAGGCUCACAUCAGAAGCCGGCUUCGGUUUCACCACAAAAUAAGGCAUCUAGUGCCCGAUUCUGCCUCCAAAGCAGCCCUGGGUCACACUCGCUGUAGGACAGAUGUUAUUCUUCAGAAUCACGCCCUCUGGCAAAUGCCCAUCAUCGGACAAAUGGACGGAUGAAGUGUGACUCAGCCAUGAGAAGGGGGAUGCUCUGAGCCGCGCGGCCACACCACCAACCCGGAGGACACGGUGCUGCGAGAAAAAGCCAGGCAGGAGUUCAGAAGUAACAGGGCAAAUAGGGAAAGUCCUUCCUGGCCUGUCUACAUACCCCUGCAGCCCUCCCGGUCCUAGGGUGACUGCUGACGGAGAGGGCACUCCCUUCCCGAGUCUUCUCUGCACGUCCGUGGGCACGCACAGCUGAGCGGCACACAGCAGCCCGGCUCGCUCCUCCGCACUGGGGACACAAGAUUUCACUGCACCUCACCCAGCCCUUUCCACAGAGCAGUUCAUCUUGGAGACUCUUCCCCUCGAAGGGUCUAAAGGCCAGUCUCCGUGUCCUGGUGUUUGUUGUCGGGGAGGAUGCAACAUCGGGGGAAGGAAGUAAUCAUGUCUGGUGGCAGCUGGCACUGGCAGGCAGCGGGCACUCGAAGCCUGCACCUCGCACCUGUCCCUCUGGGGCCUCGGCUAUCCCUCCGCACGACGGGCAUGAAGCCCCCUCCUGCCUCCACUGCUCGGAUGAAAGGAGGUCGUAGAUGACGGAGUUGAUGACAUAGGAAUCAUUCUGGACUUGCAUCUCCACAUCGUAGCUGUGACUGUUUGCCACAGCGAGGAAGAUCCUCUCCCCGAUCUGGAAGACCUCCCAGUCUGCAGCACCGAACGUCUAGGACCAAAGGAGAGCAGGCCCCAGUGCUGUGCGUCCUACGAGCACCACCUGCUGUCUCACCUCUUCCAGGAAGCCCACCCUGAUCCCUCUAGUCCCAGCCUCAGACACUGAAGCAACAUCAGGGAGCCCGGAGAGCCUGGGCUGCAGGGGAGGGCGCCACAGGUGAGGACACAGCUCCGUGGGCACCAGGCAAGGUCCCAAAGCAGAUCCGCAGCCGGUCAGAGGAGCGCACAUGGGUCCACGAGAUGUGACUAUUCCUAUCUGCUGGAGAACAGCCGUCCAGGGCCACCCCACGUCCUUCAAGGGGACUCUGAGACACUCUGGGCCGGUGGGACCUUCAGCAGCAUCUGGACUUUGGCUGCCUCACAGGCGGAUGUCACCCACCCCUUGGGACUUCGCCAUGGGUCGCUAGCCCAGACCCUCCCCUUGGUUCCGGUGGUUCCAUUUCUGCCCCUUUGCUGCUGGCCCCCUUCUGAGGAUGCCCGUGCAUCUCCAGGACCACUGCUCCAGUCCUUGGUGUAGAUCAAAGCUGGCCUUCACACGCGGCCUGAAAAUGUAGAGUGGCCGCCUUCUGGGCUGGGCUGCCACCUCCACCACAUCACCCGUGACAGAAGCCCCGUGUUUUUCGGUAACCACGUUCCACGAACACCUCCCGACUGCCUUCCAGAACACACAAAGAUCAACGAAGCUCAGAAUCCAGUCCCGACGUCAUUUCAUGAAGAGCAGGUA
rnacentral:lncRNA from 1 species